rnacentral:lncRNA from 13 species
CAAGGGGGAGGGAUCCUGAGAGGAGUGGCGUAAGUAGUAGAUCUGUACCAGUACAGAGGGAUAGGCCAACAAGUGAUAUAUGUUUCAGUAAGAUUGUAUUUUUAGCAAUUAUAGCAAUGGUUAUCAACUGUACUGCAGGGAUGUAAUGUAAAUCGCAGAAAAUUGAGGUUGUGGUGGCAACUGCAGAGAGGUUUAUUUUGUUGUGCGAGACUUGACGUCAGAAGAGUUACAGUAUGUUAAGUGGUUGUGUCUCAUCCUUUCAGGCUGUUGGUAGGACUAAAUAUAUUUAAAAAGUGGAGCAGGGUGGUGGUUUAUUUUUAUAUUGUUUAUUAUUAUUAUAUACUUUUUUGUGAAGUGUAGGUUUAGAUGGUAGGGUAUUUGUUGAUUUCAAAUUCAAAUCAAAAUCAAAUUGUGUUGGUCACAUACACAUGGUUAGCAGAUGUUAAUGCGAGUGUAGCGAAAUGCUUGUGCUUCUAGUUCCGACCAUUUAGUAAUAUAACAUAACAAUUUCACAACAACUACCUUAUACACACAAGUGUAAAGGAAUUAAUAAGAAUAUGUACAUCAAAAUAUAUGAAUGGGCGAUGGCCGAACGGCAUAGGCAACAUGCAGUAGAUGGUAUAGAGUACAGUAUAUACAUAUGAGAUGAGUAUUGUAGGGUAUGUAAACAUGGAACGCGAAGCGAGGCGGCCAUCUCUGUCCGCGCCGGAAGUUUUAAGAGGGAUAGGCCAAAACAAAUUCAAACAAAUAAGGUAGUUAUACUCCAGUUCACUAGGUGGCGGUAAUUCAACAUGAAUUGGUUGCCAACCGCCUUUAAUCCUCAUCGAAUAAGAUUUUGUGCCCUAUCGUUUAAAUUGCAUUAAGUAGCCUCCAUACCCAUUGGUGGCGCUCUAGCUAUCCUAUUUGGUAAGUUUUUCCGUUUGUAUCGUUCAUGUAUUUUUCCUUGUUCUCUGGCCACUGCGCGCAUAGACAGAAUGCCGUCGAUUGAAUACGACGAUUCCAAGCCCAGUUGGGCCGAUCAGGUUGAAGAGGAGGGAGACGAAGGUAAGAAGCGGGCUAGCAUUAGCUUGCUAGCAUUGACGUUAACUUGCUAGCUAAACCGGCCGAUUUCCACGUGUAUUUUUGACUUCCAUUAUAGUCGUUAGUUUCUCUGUCACACUUCGUAGUCAGGAAGACAAUUUUUGUGAUUUGUCAGGGAGAAGACUACCCCCCCCCCCCCCUGUAAAGUUAGGUGGCUAGCUAGUAAGUAACC